rnacentral:rRNA from 1 species
UACGUAGGUGGCAAGCGUUGUCCGGAAUUAUUGGGCGUAAAGCGCGCGCAGGCGGUCCUUUAAGUCUGAUGUGAAAGCCCACGGCUCAACCGUGGAGGGUCAUUGGAAACUGGGGGACUUGAGUGCAGAAGAGGAAAGCGGAAUUCCACGUGUAGCGGUGAAAUGCGUAGAGAUGUGGAGGAACACCAGUGGCGAGGGCGGCUUCUGGUCUGUAACUGACGCUGAGGCGCGAAAGCGUGGGGAGCAAACAGG